CUGCUGUCACUUGUGCGCUCGUUUUGUGCAGGAUGGUCCCACGGCACCUGCGUAAGGAGGCAUGCGGGAGGGCGCGGGCGGGCCGCGGGCUACGUAAUCCCUCCGCAACGGCACUUCCUGAACGUGGCGCAAGGCUUGUGCGAAUGUCGGCCGAGCAUUUCGCGCCACUUUCGUAAUUUGUUGCGUGGUCCGACCGACCGGCCGGCUCGGCCGCCCCGCAGGAAGUAAAAGUUCGAAGGAAACUGUGCGGCAGCAAGCGGCCGCCUUGUGAAACACCGGCGUCGUCCCCGACUGCACCGACUACCUGAAUGCCUGACUGCCCGUCAGCUCGUCGGCCCGACAGCUCUUCUGCCCGACAGCUCGUCUUUUAUUUCACAUAUGUUAAGUCGUACGACGGAAAUUUCCAUUUCUAUUAAUAGUUCAGUAUUAAUAAAAAGUAUCAUAUUUAAUUAACGAAGAAAAUUUGA